rnacentral:tRNA from 1 species
CCUCUCAUGGCGUAGUGGUAACGCGCCCCAACUAGAGAUCGCGGAGUCGUUAGUUCGAUUCUCACUGAGAAGA